UUUUUUAUUAUUAUUUUUAUUUAUUUAUUUAUUUUUCGUUGUUUUUUUUCUUUUUUUUCUUUUUUUUUUCUUUUUUUAAAAAAAAGUUUCUUGGAUCUAAUUCUGAUUGACAUGAUGAAAUGCAAUAUGAAAUGCUAAAUGAAUGCAUGAAUGAGGAGGGCAAAUUUUGGGGUGUUACACCCGAAAGGGCGGCUUAGGAAAAAAUGAGGGUCUCGGUGUAUUGAAAACCCGAAAGGGAGAUCCAG
rnacentral:lncRNA from 1 species